GUAAAGGCUGCACAGGAAUCGAUGGAAGAUGCUUGAAAAGCCUCAUUCCCAGAAACAUCUCCAGCUGCUUUUGCCGUGAACUAUCAACCAUUGCAUUUUUAUAUCUUCUCUGUAAGGUAAUUUUCAUGUUUUUCUGUGCUGCAGAAAACUGUUUAAACGCUCCUGACUCUUCACUGAAGAUAUUGAGAACUUGGCUGUGCAUAGCUUUUGAGCCAGUAUAGAGAGUUGCAUGGAUAUCACCUUGUUGCAGAAAAAGAUCUGCGAGCUCAGACACAGGAGACAAGAUAGUUGAUCUCUUAAACUCCUCAAACCUCAUGUCAAGUCUCUUCCAUGGUUUAUCAGGACAUGGAUGACUCCAUGUUGUUGUCUUAGUAUUGUGAUCAAUAAAAUAAGAUUUUCCAGUGACUGCAUCAGCUCUUUUCUCCCAUCCCGGUGGAAGCGGAGCAGUAUAGCUACUCCCAGAAUUAUAACCAUAUCCAAUAUCAGUAUCAAGUGAUAUCCCCAGCCUUCUACAUUGCUCAACGAACACUUGAAGACCUAUAGAAGUAGCAGAGCCAUCAGCAAGACUUCCACCUCCAUUCGCGUUGUCCCUGGAGUAGGAUUUUGAAAGCAGAACCGCUCCUCUUCCGGCACAACAAGACUUGCAAGCUUUCUUCCUACACUGUAAACAUAAGAACACUGAGCCUGGCUCUCCCCCCAAACUCUUGGUAGUAGAUCCAACUGAAUUUUUGUUGACCUCGGCUCUGACUUGACACACUCCACCGUUACAACCCUCACCAAUUCCGUUAAUAUUCCAGAAAUCUAUCACACUAUUUUCCAGCUUCUCUAAAUCAAUAGAAGCUAUAAGUUUAUCUUCAAGAGAAGCCUGGCCAAGAACUGCAAGUGCAUUUGCUAUUCUGCAUAAUCUUCCAAUAUAUAACUCGUCGUGUGAAGAGUUCGGAUUAAUUGUAGCAGGAUCAAUUCCAAUUGAUAACAGUGCCCUAUCUCUUUCUGCUGCAGAAAUAUUCAGACGUAGCCGUUCAAUUUCAAGUUUAAUAGCUUCUAUAAACUCAAGCUUCCUUCCCUGUAUUAUAAUAGACAUGCAGAAAUUAAGUUUACAAUUAAAAUGGCAGUUUAAGAGGACAUAUAACAUCUGAGAUGAAUAGCUGAACCAAGAAAGGAGUCAUAAGAUCAGAAAUGGUAUGUGACAAGAUGAAGUAACAUACCAUGUUUGGACCCAUAACGGACUUCAGACAAUUUAAGUACAGAUGAGAACCACUCUCUCUAGAACUUUUAUCUUGUGAAGAAGACAUGCUGGGAACAGUUUCAGGACCACUAUAUUGAACAACUGCUUGGUCUAAGAAAUCAAGCAUGUCAUUUCCUCCACUUGCAACACAUUCCACCGCUGGUUGUGGGAAGGGGUCAGAAGCAGAAACCUCUCCUGUCAAAAGGUCAAGCAGAUUACUAGGAAACGGAUCAUUCUGUUGUACUGGUGUGGACACAGUUUCAGCCUGUAAAGAUUUUGCGGCAAAAGGAUUCGAGUCAGAACAAGAUGAAAAAGGAACUUCAUCUUCUUUUGUUUUCCCUGCAAUCUCAGCCAAUCUUCCUCCGGUACGUUCGCUAGUAAACAUUCCUUUCCAUGGAAGAGAAACUCCAAGGACUUCUAUCUGUAUCACAAACACAAUGCAGAAGAAGUUUUGUUUUAAACUGUUUUGCUUUCAUGUUGGCUAGUCAUACUAUUAGAUAAAUCAUUAAUUUUAGUCCAGAAAGUAGUUAUUACCUGACCAAGAGUCAUGGGGAUUUUAAGAGAACCAGCUGGAUAAAAUGUAACAGAAACUACACGGGUCAAGAAAUCCAGUUGUCCUUCUAGUUCUUCAAAAUCAUACAGCAGUGAAAGACUUGACGUAUCUUUUUCAUGGAGACGCGCACCAGCUCCAGUAAUAGCAAUAUCCUCAUCACGAAUUGGCCCUGGUAAGGGUAUCAGAAGAUUUGUACCAUUCGCACACCGCGGUAUCGAAGCAUCCUGUCCAAAAACCAGAAAUACAGACAAUCGUCAUCCAGUUGAACUAGCUUGCAUGCACGUCUACAUGAUACAAUAAAAGAGAAGGGACAAGAGAGUCAGUCAACCUGAACAACUAAUUUAAGGUCCUCUAAGUGGCGUCCAGUUUUCACGUUCACAGUGGAUGGACAUGUCAAAUCAUCCGCACCGUGUGAUAUUGUCAGUACAAGUUGACAUACAUGGCAAGGCUCACUGAGGUAGAUAACUAACUCAACAGCAUCUGCAGCUUGUGGACAUAGCUGCAAAGUAUAUAAAAAGCAGGGGAAACUUUUAGCUCAAAUUUUUGAGGGAUGAGAACAAAGAGGUAAUGUUUUAUCCAAAAGGAGGUACCCAAGUUAUGUCCUUCGUCUUGAUACUCAGCAGACUGGACCCAUCAUUGGAAGUCUCAGACAUGCUCGGUACAGGUUUCAGAAAGAAACCACCUGGCCGAGAAAGUACCUGACAUGAAAAAAAGUUCCAGUGAGCAGUAACAUUAACAUAGCUGCAGUGAAAAAUUGUAUUAGUUUGCUUACAUGUAAAGGCUGCACAGGAAUCGAUGGAAGAUGCUUGAAAAGCCUCAUUCCCAGAAACAUCUCCAGCUGCUUUUGCCGUGAACUAUCAACCAUUGCAUUUUUAUAUCUUCUCUGUAAGGUAAUUUUCAUGUUUUUCUGUGCUGCAGAAAACUGUUUAAACGCUCCUGACUCUUCACUGAAGAUAUUGAGAACUUGGCUGUGCAUAGCUUUUGAGCCAGUAUAGAGAGUUGCAUGGAUAUCACCUUGUUGCAGAAAA
rnacentral:lncRNA from 1 species